rnacentral:rRNA from 1 species
UACGGGGGGAGCAAGCGUUGUUCGGAUUUACUGGGCGUAAAGGGCGCGUAGGCGGUCAGCACAAGUCAGUUGUGAAAUCUCCGGGCUUAACUCGGAAAGGUCAACUGAUACUGUGCGACUAGAGUGCAGAAGGGGCAACUGGAAUUCUCGGUGUAGCGGUGAAAUGCGUAGAUAUCGAGAGGAACACCUGCGGCGAAGGCGGGUUGCUGGGCCGACACUGACGCUGAGGAGCGAAAGUGUGGGGAGCGAACAGG